AAAACAUGCUUUUCACCCCCAAACUUAAAAUUUUCGUUGCCCUCAACGAAAUUAGCACAAAGUUUAAGGAUAGAAAACACCUGAUUUAGUCGGAGUCAAUGUGAUCAGGGUGCUCCUCCCUUGCUCUCUCAAGCUCGUCCUCAUCGGAAAGCUCGGGUACGGGUUCAAGAAUGGGUGCCGGUAAAGGUGCCGGCUCGAUGCAAUCGGGCGUCCCGCAUCCCAAGUGUUGGACAAUAGCUUGUAGCAUUUUGCUUGACCACCGUUGAAGUGCCUCCACCGUAUUGACUUUAUGCUCGACGGUAGUCAAUCG
rnacentral:lncRNA from 1 species